UGGGGAAUAUUGCACAAUGGGGGAAACCCUGAUGCAGCGACGCCGCGUGAGCGAAGAAGGUUUUCGAAUCGUAAAGCUCUGUCCUAUGAGAAGAUAAUGACGGUAUCAUAGGAGGAAGCCCCGGCUAAAUACGUGCCAGCAGCCGCGGUAAUACGUAUGGGGCGAGCGUUGUCCGGAAUUAUUGGGCGUAAAGGGUACGUAGGCGGUCUAUUAAGUCAGGUGUGAAAGCGUGAGGCUUAACCUCAUUAAGCACUUGAAACUGAUAGACUUGAGUGAAGGGGAGGAAAGUGGAAUUCCUAGUGUAGCGAUGAAAUGCGUAGAUAUUAGGGGGAAUACCGGUGGCGAAGGCGACUUUCUGGACUUUUACUGACGCUCAGGUACGAAGGCGUGGGGGGCAAACAGG
rnacentral:rRNA from 1 species